UGUGUCAUUAUUACGUUUGCCAUUACAUAACAACCUUUCUCAAAUGUUGUGUGCAAAAAAACUUGUUAACCUGACUGACAUACUUUCAUAUUCUGAUUUUUGUGUGCAUUUUAUCAUUGGGAAUCGGUAUUGAAGCAAAUUACCUUCAUUUACAGCUAUACAUCAUAUACUGCUACUGAUUGACAUUCAGUUGUGACAUAAAUAAGUUCAGUUUUAUUUAAUAAUAAAAGAACAAUCCUAAAGAGACCAUAUUAAGUAGAUAAAUGAAGUAUCAUUGACCAUUGAACAAAAAUAAAUUAUUAUAGUUUAAUCUUUCAUUGUUUUUUUUUUGACUGAAUGGUAUGUCCUGCAUGUAAAUGAGUGGAAAUUGUGAAAGACUGUAACUUGAAACGGUGUCAAAAUACUUAUUUACUGCAAUUCAUUAUUUAUUUCUCUACGCAACCUCUGAAAUAAAAUAACAAGAAUAGAGUGCAAUCAUGGUUAUGAAUGUUAAUUGAAAAUUUCACUGACUUUUUCAUUAGGAAACCCCCUAAAACAAGACGAUCACGAUUGUAAUUAAUUUAUCAAGUUUAUGCCAUUUUGAUCAUAAAGAGAUUCAUGAUUAGCACAAAAAUGAACUUAAAUGUCAAAUUUUAUUCAAGUUAAAUUUAUUUUACUCUUAAAAAAAGAUUGUCAAUCCGAAUCUUCUUCAUAUAUAGAUUUCAAUUGUUAUUUUUGGAAAAAAUAAACCUUCCAUGAUACAGUUAAUACGGUCAACAAACAGAAAGAGCAUUGUAAAUUGUGUUUGCUCAACCACUGUCUUUAUCAUCUUUAAUUGUUCAUUUAAUUUGGAUCGGGAAAUAACUUAAGUCUUUAAUUAUUUUUGACAAAAUUUGUAAAGCUGAACGUGAAUGUAAACAAUUGUGCUUAUAUUUCUCUCGUCUGGGGUAUCGGUUGUUUCAAGUCAGCUUCUUUUGAAUAAAUAAACAGGUCAGCAAGAAGCGGACAUCAAAUGGUUUGUAAAUGGAUGCCGAUUGUCUGUUGUAAACCAUGCUCAUAGUC
rnacentral:lncRNA from 1 species